rnacentral:tRNA from 1 species
GGGGCGGUGGCGAAUUGGAUGAGACGCACUGGAUUUAGGUUCCAGCGCCGCAAGGUGUAAGAGUUCGAGUCUCUUCGCCCCCACCA